rnacentral:tRNA from 1 species
GCCGCUAAGUGGCACCGAGAGCGGCGCGGUCUUGAAAACUGUCGUGGCGGCAACGCCACCGUGGGUUCAAAUCCCACACCCU